rnacentral:tRNA from 1 species
GCCGAGGUGGUGGAACUGGCAGACACGCAGCGUUGAGGGCGCUGUGGACAUUUCCGUCCGUGCGGGUUCGAAUCCCGCCCUCGGCA